rnacentral:pre_miRNA from 9 species
UCUCGAUCACGUAAAAGUUAACUCAAAUUUGUAUGGAGUUGAAACAUCUUCCCUACGUUUACCGCUAGGGGCGCUGUUCCAACUCGAUACAAAUUUGAGUUAACUCUUACGCGAUCGA